GAGAGCCAUUCUGAUUAAGUAUCGGCUAUAAGUGUAGAGUUGCGGCGUCCGCAGCAACUCACAACGUUCCCCCUCGUUUCUUUUGUUUCUUUAUUUUCCGCGCGUACCGAACGUAAUUCGGUUCUGCCGACCGUGCGCAGUAGCAGAGAACUUCGUUUUAUCUUUUCGUCUUUGCGCCUGCGUCGACAGAACUCUUUUUCUUUCUUCGCUUUGCAUUUGCUAUUUGCAAUCGUCAAAUUGUGCGCAAACGAAGCGAAAGUGCUGUGAAUUUUAUUAUUAUCAGCGGCGGUGAAGAUGAAAAUACCCAACGAGCCAGCAGAUAAAGUGAUCAGGAAGGCUAUUCACAAUAUUAAGAAUAGCUAUUUUCAAAAGGGCGCAAGGGACAAAAAAUACAAAGCUCUGGCAUCCUUAGACAAUAAUUAAUAAUAAUUUUUAAUAAAUAAAACUAAUUGGAA